ACACAGCCAACAAGUGCCACCUGAAGGUGGUCACGGACCUCAGGUUGUGGAUGUGGCAGACCUGCUUCACGCUCUCGGGCCUCCUCUGGGAGCUCAUCAGGACUAUGGGGGAUUGGGCAGAGGUGUUCCUGCUCCAGCGUGGCUCCUGGACUGGCGCCAGAUGCUGGCCCUGGGGGUUUCAAUCCAAGCAUAAUUCAGUGAAGCAUGUGUUUGGCAGUGGGACCCAGCUCACUGUUUUAGGUCAGCCCAAGACUACCCCGUCGGUCAUUCUGUUCCUGCCGUCCUGUGAGGAGCCCCAAGCCAACAAGGCCACACUGGUGUGUCUCAUGAAUAACUUUAUCCGGGAAUCUUGAUGGUGACCUGGAAGGCAGAUGGUACCCUCAUCACCCAGAGCGUGGAGAAGACCACGCCCUCCAAACAGAGCAACAACAAGUACGUGGCCAGCAGCUACCUGAGCCUGACGCCCGAGCAGUGGAGGUCCCGCAGAAGCUACAGCUGCCAGGUUAUGCAAGAAGGGAGCACCGUGGAGAAGUCAGUGGCCCCUGCAGAAUGUUCAUAGGUUCCAGCCCCCACCCCACCCACAGGGGCCUGGAGCUGCAGGAUCCCAGGGGAGGGGUCUCUCUCUGCAUCCCAAGCCAUUCAGCCCUUCUCGCUGUACCCAGUAAACCCUCAAUAAAUAUCUUUGUCAGCCAGAAA
ensembl:lncRNA GUSBP11 GUSB pseudogene 11